rnacentral:lncRNA from 1 species
UGGAAGUCGAGCACCUCCGUCACGAAGUGGAGAAACUGAAACGCUGUGAAGUUGCUGAAUUGCGAAAAACGAAAGAGAUAAAUGAGAAACAGGAAGCAGAGCUAUGCCACCUUAGAGAGAGGGUGAAGAGGCUACAGGCGGAGCAUGUGCAUUUGCUUGAAAUGACAGAAGGCCCUGACAGCACUGUCACUCCAUCCAAAGGCAAGAAGCCACAGGAAGCGGAUAUCCAUCAAGGGUGUCUUGACGAGAUGCAGGAGAGGUUACACAUGCUGCGAGAUCUGACGCAGGUCACGCUGAAGCUGCGGAUGGAGUUCGAGACGGAGGUCGACCUGCGGAGGAGGGCAGCGGACGAAUGUGAAGAGCAGAAGAGGAAGAGGAUGGAGGCAGAGCAGUUGGUGCGAGACUUCCAGAACCUCUGUGAGAAGCAGGCGGAUGAUUACAGAACCACUGUCGGCAGCCUUCAGGUGGAGGUGAGGACUAAGAUGAUAUACAAAAAGAAGGGCUGUCACCAUUAACA